GACGAACGCUGGCGGCGUGCCUCAUACAUGCACGUAGGACGCAGUUGCGAACGUGUGAGUAACGCGUCUGUAACUACCUCUUAGAGGGGGCUCACUAUUGGAAACGAUAGCUAAUACCGCCUACUAGUAGAUGGACCUGCUUUGUAGUAGCUAGUAGGUAGGGUAAUGGCCUACCUAUGCAACGAUACAUAGCCGACCUGAGGGGGUGAUCGGCCACACUUGGACUGAGACACGGCCCAGACGCCUACGGGAGGCAGCAGUAGGGAAUCUUCGGCAAUGGGGGGAAACCUGACCGAGCAACGCCGCGGGAGUGAAGAAGGUUCUCGGAGCGUAUAGCUCUGUUGUUAAGGAAGCGGUACUUAACCAGAAAGGGACGGCUAACUACUUGCCAGCAGCCGCGGUAAUAC
rnacentral:rRNA from 1 species